UACGUAGGGUGCGAGCGUUAAUCGGAAUUACUGGGCGUAAAGCGUGCGUAGGCGGUUCGUUAAGUCAGCUGUGAAAGCCCCGGGCUCAACCUGGGAAUUGCGGUUGAAACUGGCGAACUAGAAUCUGGCAGAGGGGGGUGGAAUUCCACGUGUAGCAGUGAAAUGCGUAGAGAUGUGGAGGGACACCGAUGGCGAAGGCAGCCCCCUGGGCUGAGAUUGACGCUCAGGCACGAAAGCGUGGGGAGCAAACAGG
rnacentral:rRNA from 1 species